AGAGUUUGAUCCUGGCUCAGGAUGAACGCUAGCGGGAGGCUUAACACAUGCAAGUCGUGGGGCAGCAUUUGGUAGCAAUACUAAGAUGGCGACCGGCGCACGGGUGAGUAACGCGUAUGUAACCUACCCUGUACAGGGGGAUAGCCCGGAGAAAUUCGGAUUAAUACCCCAUAAAGAUAUAAUGUGGCAUCACAGAAUAUUUAAAGUUUCGGCGGUAUGGGAUGGGCAUGCGUAACAUUAGCUAGUUGGUAGGGUAACGGCCUACCAAGGCAACGAUGUUUAGGGGUCCUGAGAGGGUGAUCCCCCACACUGGUACUGAGACACGGACCAGACUCCUACGGGAGGCAGCAGUGAGGAAUAUUGGUCAAUGGGCGCAAGCCUGAACCAGCCAUCCCGCGUGAAGGAAGAAGGCGCUAUGCGUUGCAAACUUCUUUUCCAGGGGAAUAAAAUUUUAUACGUGUAUGAAACUGAAGGUACCUUGGGAAUAAGCAUCGGCUAACUCCGUGCCAGCAGCCGCGGUAAUACGGAGGAUGCAAGCGUUAUCCGGAUUUAUUGGGUUUAAAGGGUGCGUAGGCGGAUUAAUAAGUCAGUGGUGAAAACCUUCAGCUUAACUGGAGACUUGCCAUUGAUACUGUUAGUCUUGAGUAUGGUUAAGGUAGGCGGAAUGUGUAAUGUAGCGGUGAAAUGCUUAGAUAUUACACAGAACACCAAUUGCGAAGGCAGCUUACUGAGCCAAAACUGACGCUGAUGCACGAAAGCGUGGGGAGCGAACAGGAUUAGAUACCCUGGUAGUCCACGCCGUAAACGAUGAUCACUCGCUGUUGGCGAUACACAGUCAGCGGCUAAGCAAAAGCAUUAAGUGAUCCACCUGGGGAGUACGGCCGCAAGGCUGAAACUCAAAGGAAUUGACGGGGGCCCGCACAAGCGGAGGAACAUGU
rnacentral:rRNA from 1 species